GAACGGGUGAGUAACACGUGGGAAACCUACCUCUUAGCAGGGGAUAACAUUUGGAAACAGAUGCUAAUACCGUAUAACAAUGACAACCGCAUGGUUGUUAUUUAAAAGAUGGUUCUGCUAUCACUAAGAGAUGGUCCCGCGGUGCAUUAGCUAGUUGGUAAGGUAAUGGCUUACCAAGGCGAUGAUGCAUAGCCGAGUUGAGAGACUGAUCGGCCACAAUGGGACUGAGACACGGCCCAUACUCCUACGGGAGGCAGCAGUAGGGAAUCUUCCACAAUGGGCGAAAGCCUGAUGGAGCAACGCCGCGUGUGUGAUGAAGGGUUUCGGCUCGUAAAACACUGUUGUAAGAGAAGAAUGACAUUGAGAGUAACUGUUCAAUGUGUGACGGUAUCUUACCAGAAAGGAACGGCUAAAUACGUGCCAGCAGCCGCGGUAAUACGUAUGUUCCAAGCGUUAUCCGGAUUUAUUGGGCGUAAAGCGAGCGCAGACGGUUAUUUAAGUCUGAAGUGAAAGCCCUCAGCUCAACUGAGGAAUUGCUUUGGAAACUGGAUGACUUGAGUGCAGUAGAGGAAAGUGGAACUCCAUGUGUAGCGGUGAAAUGCGUAGAUAUAUGGAAGAACACCAGUGGCGAAAGCGGCUUUCUGGACUGUAACUGACGUUGAGGCUCGAAAGUGUGGGUAGCAAACAGGAUUAGAUACCCUGGUAGUCCACACCGUAACGAUGAGUGCUAGGUGUUUGAGGGUUUCGCCCUUAGUGCCGCAG
rnacentral:rRNA from 1 species